AUUGUUUUGGUGAUUGCAAGCUUUUACAACCACUCUGGAAAUCAGUCUGGUGGUUCCUCAACAAAUUAGACAAAGUACUACUGGAGGAUCCUGCAUUAUCUCUCCUGGGCAUAUAUCCAGAAGCUGUUCCAACUGUUUUCAGGGAAAUUCAAUACGAUCUACCUAGCAGGCAAACAUAUGGAUACAACUGCAGAAAAUAGACAAGUGAGGAUGCUGAUACGUGAGGUUAAGUAUUUUAAUCAAUACAGCCUCAUGAGCAUGACGUUCUAUGUCAGGAAAAAUGGGAAAUGCCAACUACACACAGUUUGGGCUGAAAAACUUGAGAGGACAUUUUGCUCAAUGUCCUUGGCUUAUUUUACAGAGUAUAAGUUCCAAGGAGAGUGUCCUAAAAGAAACAGGACUAAUCCCAUCACUGGGACCUGGAUGUUGCAUGAUGCAAUUCGUCAUUUUCCAAAAAUCUAUACUUUUCCAGCACUUGAGGGAGGCUUAAAUCGACGCCCCAGUGCAUUUUUUAUUAAGAUACACUUUGUCUCAAACACCACCAUCCUAUUUGAAGCCCGAUUUAUUAAUGAUGGGAAUUAUAACAUCAAUCUGUCAGGAGCACUGGCAACUGGAACAAAUAUCACUGAAGAAAUGUGGAAAAGAUAUGUGAAGCUGACUCAGAAACUUAAAAUUCCUACUAAAAAUAUUGAAAAUGUCUAUGAAACAGUUUAAAAAGAAGAGAAGCAAAGAAACAUGAAAGAAAAUGAAAGAGAGAAAGAUAUCCCUGAAUAUAACCUUCCUUACCUUGUUUCCCCUCUGACCUAUAACAUCAACAAUACCCACCAAAAGACAAAUAUUCACCCAUCACCCUUUUUGUGAAUGGAGCAUCAUUGUCUUAAAAUUGUUUCCUGUUGUGAGUUGGGCUUCACCUUCUGCUGGAGACAAUAUAAGGACAUUGGAAGGAGUCUGGCUCUUGUUCCUUUGCCUGCUUGCUGUGUGAGACUGAGUAACUGUUAGAUCCUUGGACUUACAUUCACAGCUACUACUGAAACAUUGUUGGGAAUUUGGCUGCAUACUGUAAGUCAUCAAUAAAUUCCUUUACUAUCUAGAGACUAUCCAUAAGUUCUGUGACUCUAGAGAACCCUGACUAAUACAUGUACCUAUGAAAUUCUUUAAUAAAAUGUUACGAUAAGCUGUAGUCCUUUUGAAUGCUUCAUUACAAACAGUUUAGGACAAAUAAGACAUUCAAGUAAGUAAUCAAUAAAUCAAACUUAACAUGCUAAAUUCUAGUUUAUUCAUUUUUAAAAAUAAACUUCAUGUAUCUUCUUUAGAUGUAGAUAUUAGCUAGCUAGAGAUAUGAAAAUCAGAUAUACAAUAGAUAUAUUUUCUUCAUAAACCUUAAAGAUCUACAGACUAAGUAACAUAAAGUUAUAUUUUUAAUAAAAGUUUUUCUGACAAUGACAUGUUUACUCCCAGCAGCUUCUACUUCAUUCUACUUCAAAAAGGAUGAUUUGCACUGCAGAGCCAACUUUUGAAACUGGCAAAUUCAUCUUUCCAUUUCUAUGUAGAAUUGUGUUGGGAUUUUAAUGGGGAUUACAAUGAAUCUGUAGAUUGAUUAUGUUAAGAAGGCCAUAUUUUAGUAUAUUAAUCCCAUUGAUCCACAAGCAUGGAACUUGUUUAUGUAUUCUUAGGUUUUCUUUAAUUUCUUUCUUCAAAACUUGAAGUCCUUGUAGUACAGAUGUUUCACUUGCUUGGUUAAUGUUACACUAUCAUAUUUUCUGUUAUUUGUGGCUAUUCUGAAGGGUGUUGUUUUCACUUGUAUAAAGGAAGGAUACUAAGUUGUUCCAGCUAAUUUCAUAUCCACAAAUAUUGCUGAAAUUGUUUAUCUGCUGUAGGUGUUCUUAGGUAGAUAUUUUGUGGUUGCAUAUAUACUAUUGUAUCAUCUGCAAAUAGUGAUAUCUUGAGAAAAUUGUAGCAAUUCCACUGAAAUCAAAGACACAUCAAAGCUUCCUACCCUAUUCUUAUCUAUUCAGUAUAGUACCUAAAUUCUAACUAAAGCUAUUAGACCACAAAGGACAUCUAGGGGAUACAAAUUGAAAAGUAAGAAGUAAAGAUAAUCACUAUUUACAGAUGAUUGUUUUCUUGAAAUUACUUUAUCUGAAUUGGGUAAAAGAACUCCUGUUUAGUGUUGGGAGCUAUUAAGACAACACAAUUGUCCUGAUUUCUGAAUUGUUCCUCUCCCCCGAGAAGAAAAGGGGGUCAAAAGCGGGCCACCGACGCACCACUUUGAGAACAACCACAGAUUGUUCCAGCCCUAAGUCAGCGACAGAUGUCCUGACAUCAAGAUGUACCCUGAUACCACCAAGUUCCUGCUUCCCCGUGAAAAUUUUCUAUUGUCCCACCCCUCCUGCUGAUAAGUACCUGUACUUCUCCCUUUUCUUGUGCAAUUCUACUGCCUCACCCUUCCUGCUAAAAGGCACUUCCCCUUUUGCUUGUGUAUUUAAACCUUGGGCCUGGCUAAUACAGUGGGACCUUGAUGCCUCUC
rnacentral:lncRNA from 1 species